GACGAACGCUGGCGGCGUGCUUAACACAUGCAAGUCGAACGGAGAGGCCCUGCUUUUGUGGGGUGCUCGAGUGGCGAACGGGUGAGUAACACGUGAGUAACCUGCCCUUGACUUUGGGAUAACUUCAGGAAACUGGGGCUAAUACCGGAUAGGAGCUCCUGCUGCAUGGUGGGGGUUGGAAAGUUUCGGCGGUUGGGGAUGGACUCGCGGCUUAUCAGCUUGUUGGUGGGGUAGUGGCUUACCAAGGCUUUGACGGGUAGCCGGCCUGAGAGGGUGACCGGCCACAUUGGGACUGAGAUACGGCCCAGACUCCUACGGGAGGCAGCAGUGGGGAAUAUUGCACAACGGGCGGAAGCCUGAUGCAGCAACGCCGCGUGCGGGAUGACGGCCUUCGGGUUGUAAACCGCUUUCGCCUGUGACGAAGCGUGAGUGACGGUAAUGGGUAAAGAAGCACCGGCUAACUACGUG
rnacentral:rRNA from 1 species